rnacentral:rRNA from 1 species
UACGGAGGGUGCGAGCGUUAAUCGGAAUUACUGGGCGUAAAGCGCGCGUAGGCGGUCAGGCAAGUCGGGUGUGAAAGCCCUGGGCUCAACCUGGGAAUUGCAUUCGAAACUAUCUGACUCGAGUAUGGGAGAGGGAAGCGGAAUUUCCGGUGUAGCGGUGAAAUGCGUAGAUAUCGGAAGGAACACCAGUGGCGAAGGCGGCUUCCUGGACUAAUACUGACGCUGAGGUGCGAAAGCGUGGGGAGCGAGCCGG